rnacentral:rRNA from 1 species
GUAGGGAAUAUUGCGCAAUGGAGGAAACUCUGACGCAGCGACGCCGCGUGGGUGAUGAAGGUCUUCGGAUCGUAAAGCCCUGUCGGAUGGGAAGAAAAACGGUAUGGCUAAUAUCCAUGCCGCUUGACUGUACCAUAAGAGGAAGCCCCGGCUAACUUCGUGCCAGCAGCCGCGGUAAUACGAAGGGGGCUAGCGUUGUUCGGAAUCAUUGGGCGUAAAGCGCGUGUAGGCUGUUUAUUAUGUCGGGUGUGAAAUCCCUGGGCUCAACCGAGGAAGUGCAUCCGAAACUGGUAAACUAGAAGAUGGUAGAGGAAGGUGGAAUUCCUAGUGUAGAGGUGAAAUUCGUAGAUAUUAGGAGGAAUACCUGAGGCGAAGGCGGCCUUCUGGGCCAUUCUUGACGCUGAGACGCGAAAGCGUGGGUAGCAAACAGGAUUAGAAACCCCAGUAGUCC